rnacentral:rRNA from 1 species
GACGAACGCUGGCGGCGUGCUUAACACAUGCAAGUCGAACGAGACGAUUGAAAGCUUGCUUUCGAAAGUCGAGUGGCAAACGGGUGAGUAACGCGUAGACAACCUGCCUUUGAGAUGGGGACAACAGUUCGAAAGGACUGCUAAUACCGAAUGUUGUAUAUUUUCCACAUGGAAGAUAUAUUAAAGAUGGCCUCUAUUUAUAAGCUAUCGCUCAAAGAUGGGUCUGCGUCUGAUUAGCUAGGUGGUGGGGUAACGGCCUAGCAAGGCGACGAUCAGUAGCCGGUCGGAGAGGAUGAACGGCCACAUUGGGACUGAGACACGGCCCAGACUCCUACGGGAGGCAGCAGUGGGGAAUCUUCCACAAUGGACGAAAGUCUGAUGGAGCAACGCCGCGUGAGUGAAGAAGGGUUUCGGCUCGUAAAGCUCUGUUGUCGGGGACGAAUGUGCAGUAUUUGAAUAAAGUACUGUAAUGACGGUACCUGACGAGGAAACCACGGCUAACUACGUGCCAGCAGCCGCCGUAA